rnacentral:piRNA from 1 species
UGCGAAGGAUCAAUGUGAUUUGUGGAUGGA